CUGAGGAGCGAAAGCGUGGGGAGCGAACAGGAUUAGAUACCCUGGUAGUCCACGCCGUAAACGGUGGAUGCUGGAUGUGGGGCCCGUUCCACGGGUUCCGUGUCGGAGCUAACGCGUUAAGCAUCCCGCCUGGGGAGUACGGCCGCAAGGCUAAAACUCAAAGAAAUUGACGGGGGCCCGCACAAGCGGCGGAGCAUGCGGAUUAAUUCGAUGCAACGCGAAGAACCUUACCUGGGCUUGACAUGUUCCCGACAGCCGUAGAGAUAUGGCCUCCCUUCGGGGCGGGUUCACAGGUGGUGCAUGGUCGUCGUCAGCUCGUGUCGUGAGAUGUUGGGUUAAGUCCCGCAACGAGCGCAACCCUCGCCCUGUGUUGCCAGCACGUCAUGGUGGGAACUCACGGGGGACCGCCGGGGUCAACUCGGAGGAAGGUGGGGAUGACGUCAGAUCAUCAUGCCCCUUACGUCCAGGGCUUCACGCAUGCUACAAUGGCCGGUACAGCGGGAUGCGACAUGGCGACAUGGAGCGGAUCCCUGAAAACCGGUCUCAGUUCGGAUUGGAGUCUGCAACCCGACUCCAUGAAGGCGGAGUCGCUAGUAAUCGCGGAUCAGCAACGCCGCGGUGAAUGCGUUCCCGGGCCUUGUACACACCGCCCGUCAAGUCAUGAAAGUGGGCAGCACCCGAAGCCGGUGGCCUAACCCCUUGUGGGAUGGAGCCGUCUAAGGUGAGGCUCGUGAUUGGGACUAAGUCGUAACAAGGUAGCCGUACCGGAAGGUGCGGCUG
rnacentral:rRNA from 1 species